rnacentral:rRNA from 1 species
UACAGAGGUCCCAAGCGUUGUUCGGAUUCAUUGGGCGUAAAGGGUGCGUAGGCGGUUCGGCAAGUCGGAUGUGAAAUCUCCACGCUCAACGUGGAGGGGCCAUUCGAAACUGCCGUGACUCGAGUCCGGUAGGGGAGUGUGGAAUUCCCGGUGUAGCGGUGAAAUGCGCAGAUAUCGGGAGGAACACCGAUGGCGAAGGCAGGUCUCUGGGCCACUACUGACGCUGAGAAGCGAAAGCAUGGGGAGCGAACAGGA